CAGCAGUCGCCACGGGAAUACGUAGGUGGCAAGCGUUGUCCGGAAUUAUUGGGCGUAAAGGGCUCGCAGGCGGUUUCUUAAGUCUGAUGUGAAAGCCCCCGGCUCAACCGGGGAGGGUUAUUGGAAACUGGGAAACUUGAGUGCAGAAGAGGAGAGUGGAAUUCCACGUGUAGCGGUGAAAUGCGUAGAGAUGUGGAGGAACACCAGUGGCGAAGGCGACUCUCUGGUCUGUAACUGACGCUGAGGAGCGAAAGCGUGGGGAGCGAACAGGAUUAGAUACCCCUGUAGUCCCUGUCUCUUAUAC
rnacentral:rRNA from 1 species